UCUGAUGUUAGCGGCGGACGGGUGAGUAACACGUGGAUAACCUACCUAUAAGACUGGGAUAACUUCGGGAAACCGGAGCUAAUACCGGAUAAUAUUUUGAACCGCAUGGUUCAAAAGUGAAAGACGGUCUUGCUGUCACUUAUAGAUGGAUCCGCGCUGCAUUAGCUAGUUGGUAAGGUAACGGCUUACCAAGGCAACGAUGCAUAGCCGACCUGAGAGGGUGAUCGGCCACACUGGAACUGAGACACGGUCCAGACUCCUACGGGAGGCAGCAGUAGGGAAUCUUCCGCAAUGGGCGAAAGCCUGACGGAGCAACGCCGCGUGAGUGAUGAAGGUCUUCGGAUCGUAAAACUCUGUUAUUAGGGAAGAACAUAUGUGUAAGUAACUGUGCACAUCUUGACGGUACCUAAUCAGAAAGCCACGGCUAACUACGUGCCAGCAGCCGCGGUAAUACGUAGGUGGCAAGCGUUAUCCGGAAUUAUUGGGCGUAAAGCGCGCGUAGGCGGUUUUUUAAGUCUGAUGUGAAAGCCCACGGCUCAACCGUGGAGGGUCAUUGGAAACUGGAAAACUUGAGUGCAGAAGAGGAAAGUGGAAUUCCAUGUGUAGCGGUGAAAUGCGCAGAGAUAUGGAGGAACACCAGUGGCGAAGGCGACUUUCUGGUCUGUAACUGACGCUGAUGUGCGAAAGCGUGGGGAUCAAACAGGAUUAGAUACCCUGGUAGUCCACGCCGUAAACGAUGAGUGCUAAGUGUUAGGGGGUUUCCGCCCCUUAGUGCUGCAGCUAACGCAUUAAGCACUCCGCCUGGGGAGUACGACCGCAAGGUUGAAACUCAAAGGAAUUGACGGGGACCCGCACAAGCGGUGGAGCAUGUGGUUUAAUUCGAAGCAACGCGAAGAACCUUACCAAAUCUUGACAUCCUUUGACAACUCUAGAGAUAGAGCUUUCCCCUUCGGGGGACAAAGUGACAGGUGGUGCAUGGUUGUCGUCAGCUCGUGUCGUGAGAUGUUGGGUUAAGUCCCGCAACGAGCGCAACCCUUAAGCUUAGUUGCCAUCAUUAAGUUGGGCACUCUAAGUUGACUGCCGGUGACAAACCGGAGGAAGGUGGGGAUGACGUCAAAUCAUCAUGCCCCUUAUGAUUUGGGCUACACACGUGCUACAAUGGACAAUACAAAGGGCAGCGAAACCGCGAGGUCAAGCAAAUCCCAUAAAGUUGUUCUCAGUUCGGAUUGUAGUCUGCAACUCGACUACAUGAAGCUGGAAUCGCUAGUAAUCGUAGAUCAGCAUGCUACGGUGAAUACGUUCCCGGGUCUUGUACACACCGCCCGUCACACCACGAGAGUUUGUAACACCCGAAGCCGGUGGAGUAACCUUUUAGGAGCUAGCCGUCGAAGGUGGGACAAAUGAUUGGGGUGAAGUCGUAACAAGGUAGCCGUAUCGGAAGGUGCGGCUGGAUCACCUCCUUUCUA
rnacentral:rRNA from 1 species